AAAUGCUCCAGCUGCAUCCCACCCACACCGCCUGGAACAAACAGAAGGGAAAUAUGUUGCGUGUAGUGUCCUGGAGUAUCGUUACUGCUCUGCGAUAACUCUCCUGUGGUGUUCAGCUCCCUUGGGUGAGGCCUCAGCACUCAGCAGUUCUUCCCCUCCUUGGUAUGUGUGCAAAGGGUGCUCUAAAGCUGCAGAACACAGGCAGAUUAAGAGGGAAUGCACAUUGAUAUUCCACCUUUACUAGGAUGAUAUCAACUUCUUUGACCUUUUCCUGACCCCAUCCUCUAAGGAUGUCUUAGCUGGGCUUUGUCAGCUGGGAAAAUGAGUCUCAGGCAGCUGAGGUGAGGGGGGCUCAUCUGAUCAGUGUUUGCCCAAGGGAGGGAGUGACCCGUAGUGGGGAAAGCUGUCUGCUCUUUUCCUCCAGGAUACAAUUUUCAGGGCUUGUUGGUGUAACCGAGUCUCUGAGGGAGCUCUCAGCCAGAAGGUGGAGGGCAGGACAGCUUGCCCAUGAAUGAGGAUGAAAGGAUGACAGUAGCGCCUUCCUUCUCUUUCCUCUCUUCCCAGUUGUUCUCUUUCACAGGAGCUGUGGCCAGUACAAGACUCUGCCUGAGAAUGCUCAAGGGUGGCACUGCAUCCCCGGUGGAUCUGCAAGCCAAACCCCUCAGCUCCAGUCCAGUUCACAAAUCUAGCCAAAAGCACUUCAUCCUUUUGUAAGGGAUGGCUCAAGCCUGCGCUCUCCAGUGCCAGGGUUUCUGUUUCUACAAAUGUAUUGGUAAACAUUGAUCUACUACAGAAGAACACAGGUAAAUUAAUAUUUUUUUUCUACUUCUUCCACUCCCUGGACUCUUCACUCUCUUGAUUUGGUGCCAAGAAGGGAAUCUGAGACAACUGCUUUGACCCUGAUUAGAUUUAAACUGUGUGAAAUGAGCAGCUUUUCAUUUCACAGGGUUGGGAGGGAUGUGAAGAGAGCAUUGGGUCAAACCCCCCUGCCAAAGCAGAUUCCCUAGAGCAGGUUGCCCAGGUAGGCAUCCAGAUGGGCCUUGAAUAUCUCCAGAGAAAGGGACUCCACAGCCUCAUGCAUGGAAGGUGGGAGCUUUUGAAGAGUGUGAGCCCUGAAGCCUAUAUCCUCACUCUGCUGGGCGAGAAUAUGUGAGUGCAAGGGACAUGGUGAAAUAUAUACCUGUAGGU
rnacentral:lncRNA from 1 species